rnacentral:rRNA from 1 species
CCUACGGGUGGCAGCAGUGAGGAAUAUUGGUCAAUGGACGAGAGUCUGAACCAGCCAAGUAGCGUGAAGGAUGACUGCCCUAUGGGUUGUAAACUUCUUUUAUAUGGGAAUAAAACGUUCCACGUGUGGGAUUUUGUAUGUACCAUAUGAAUAAGGAUCGGCUAACUCCGUGCCAGCAGCCGCGGUAAUACGGAGGAUCCGAGCGUUAUCCGGAUUUAUUGGGUUUAAAGGGAGCGUAGGUGGAUUGUUAAGUCAGUUGUGAAAGUUUGCGGCUCAACCGUAAAAUUGCAGUUGAAACUGGCAGUCUUGAGUACAGUAGAGGUGGGCGGAAUUCGUGGUGUAGCGGUGAAAUGCUUAGAUAUCACGAAGAACUCCGAUUGCGAAGGCAGUUCACUGGACUGCAACUGACACUGAGGCUCGAAAGUGUGGGUAUCAAACAGGAUUAGAUAUCCUUGUAGUC